rnacentral:rRNA from 1 species
CACUAUACUGUGAAACUGCGAAUGGCUCAUUAAAUCAGUUAUCGUUUAUUUGAUAGUACCUUACUACAUGGAUAACCGUGGUAAUUCUAGAGCUAAUACAUGCUAAAAACCUCGACUUCGGAAGGGGUGUAUUUAUUAGAUAAAAAACCAAUGCCCUUCGGGGCUCCCUGGUGAUUCAUAAUAACUUAACGAAUCGCAUGGCCUUGUGCCGGCGAUGGUUCAUUCAAAUUUCUGCCCUAUCAACUUUCGAUGGUAGGAUAGUGGCCUACCAUGGUUUCAACGGGUAACGGGGAAUUAGGGUUCUAUUCCGGAGAAGGAGCCUGAGAAACGGCUACUACAUCCAAGGAAGGCAGCAGGCGCGCAAAUUACCCAAUCCCGACACGGGGAGGUAGUGACAAUAAAUACUGAUACAGGGCUCUUUUGAGUCUUGUAAUUGGAAUGAGUACAAUUUAAAUACCUUAACGAGGAACAAUUGGAGGGCAAGUCUGGUGCCAGCAGCCGCGGUAAUUCCAGCUCCAAUAGCGUAUAUUAAAGUUGUUGCAGUUAAAAAGCUCGUAGUUGAACCUUGGGCCUGGUUGGCCGGUCCGCCUCACCGCGUGCACUGGUCCGACCGGGUCUUUCCUUCUGGGGAGCCGCAUGCCCUUCACUGGGUGUGUCGGGGAACCAGGACUUUUACUUUGAAAAAAUUAGAGUGUUCAAAGCAGGCCUAUGCUCGAAUACAUUAGCAUGGAAUAAUAGAAUAGGACGUGUGGUUCUAUUUUGUUGGUUUCUAGGACCGCCGUAAUGAUUAAUAGGGAUAGUCGGGGGCAUCAGUAUUCAAUUGUCAGAGGUGAAAUUCUUGGAUUUAUUGAAGACUAACUACUGCGAAAGCAUUUGCCAAGGAUGUUUUCAUUAAUCAGUGAACGAAAGUUAGGGGAUCGAAGACGAUCAGAUACCGUCGUAGUCUUAACCAUAAACUAUGCCGACUAGGGAUCGGGCGAUGUUAUCUUUUUGACUCGCUCGGCACCUCACGAGAAAUCAAAGU